rnacentral:lncRNA from 1 species
GGGUAUUGUUCCUUUGGAUUACUCUCAGACUGAUUAAGCAUCUCUCCUUCCUCCUUCCUACUGAUUAUAAGUACUUAUUGAUCGACUUAAAUUUUUAGUUCAGCUAAUGAUUGCAUAGAGGAGUGAAGGAGCUGAUUGGUGCUUUCAAUCCAAUCUAAUGCUUGCAGAACCUUCUCUUCAAAUGAUGGGCUAUAGAUAGUUGGAAAAGGUUAAUAUUGUAAAUAGAACAAGUCGUAAUAGGAUGCUUCUAUAAAUGUAGAUCCUUGUAUUGUCGGGGUACCCACUGAGUGUGAGUUCUAAAAAAAAUUUGGUUGAACCCUCCAAUCUGGAUUGUGGUCGUUAAAGAAUAGAUUGUUUUUUGGUUCG